rnacentral:ncRNA from 1 species
AUGGUGCUCCUUAAUUGAGGGUGCUUGGCUAUACUGAGGGCUGUUAACUACUUAAGUGGUUAGGGACUACCGCAAUCCUAAGCCCUUAGUUUUGCU